AGUUUCAGGCUCUGAAACUCAAUACCAAACAGGGCUUAAGUCUCCCAUAUAAAAUGGGUUGUUGCCAAAAAAUUAUCCACAUCAAUGAAAUGAGAGCUUCUCAUUCAUAUAUCUGCUUUUCCUCUUCCUCUUGUAGUGAAACAAGAAUGACAUGAUUGGAGUGAAACAAAGUAUGUGCUUGGAAAUCAAGGCACAUAAAUAAGUUUUCUUAAUUCACCAAAAUUAUGAAAUUUUUAAAACUAUGAAAUUUUGAAUUUAAACUUCAAUUGUAGUUAAAUAAAUAAAAUAAUAAUAAAUCUGCCUGCUACUGCGAAAUUAUGAUGAUUUGAAAAUUAACACCAUCUAUUUAUGAAGGCCUGAAAUGUACCAUCUUUAUAAAUACAAAGCUAAUGUACACUUCUUGGAGAAGGAUGCAGACUUGCCAGGAAAAGUUGCCUGAUGCAAGAAUUUAAAGAAAGAUUACAGAGAUGAGUUAUAUAGUAAAUAAAGGGAAUGCAAAAAAUAAAACAAAAUAAAAAUAAGAGAAAUGAAAUCAUACAUACAAGAUGAUGUUGAACUACAUCCAUAUUAUUAAAGAGUUCAUAAUUCUUGAAUGGAAGCUCUGCAUAGUCCAAGUCUAUGUCACAGUCCAAUGCAAUCUAUAAGGCAAGAAAUUUUCUGAGUAAUAAAUUAACGAUGUAAAAUGGGCUUACGAACUCUUGACAGAUUAUUAGAUAACAUUAAUUCAUUUUAAUUGAUCAAAUUUAAGGGAAGCACUUGCCUAACCACCAAGAGUAUUGCACCAAAUCAAUGGAUGAGUGCCAAGUACAGAACAAACCUUUAUCUUUGGCGAGGCUAGGCGAAACAGGAACAGCCGAACUCUAAUAUCACCUAUUGCUUUCACUUGAACAACCUUCUUCCUUGCCUUAUCUUGCAACAAACUUUCACUAAUGAUCUGGGAAACAUUCACACAAUGCAGAGAAAUCUGUGUUGUUACUUUAAUGUUGUCACUGUGAGCUGGUUGGUAGAAGCCUGGAACUCUGAUUAGUCCUAUUGGAAUUCCAUGGUAGUAAAUAUUAAGCUUUGAAGGGAUAUAUUUGAUGCCUACUUUGUUGUGGUUUUGAGCAUUUAAGGUCAGGGAG
rnacentral:misc_RNA from 1 species